rnacentral:rRNA from 1 species
AUGCGUCCGCCGUUCGUCCGGUGGAUCCCCUAUUCGACGGUUGUGCCCGACCGCCUAGGCGCGCUCCCGGACGCGGUACUCCAGCACGUGCUCUCGUUCCUGCCGUCGCGCGACGCCGUGCGCACCUGCCUGCUCGCCCGCCGCUGGCGCCACCAGUGGAAGUCCGUGCCGGCCCUGCGGAUCACCGGCUUCGACUCCUUCGAGAGCGGCCGCGACCUCAACGACUUCGUCAACCAUCUCAUCAUCCUCCGCGACCGGACGCGUCUCCAUGCGUGCGAGAUCGAGGCCUACUCGGAGUACGACGGCCGCGGCAACUAUUCCGCCGACGACGGAAGCGAGCGGUCCCGGUACACCGAUCUGUGGACCCGGUACGCCUCGUCGUGCCAGGCUCGGCUGCUUCGGCUCAGCGACCGUGACCCCGCUAAUCGCAUUGCCGAACACGAGUGGGUUCAGCUUAGCACUUCCAUCGCCUCUCCGCAUCUUACGACGCUGGAGCUCGAUGGCGUGCUGCUCUCGAUCCCUUCCGAUCUGGAUUUCUCGGCCUGCACAAACCUGCAGACAAUAAAGAUGAACCGCUGCACCUUCCAAAAUACAACCGACUACGGUCCUGUCAACAUAUCCAUCUUUAAGCUUGAUCACAGUUUCGAUAGGGACGGCGAGGAUGGUUCCUGGCUUCUUGGACGCCUGUCAGAUAUCACUAAUCUAGCGCUCAUUGCCGAGCCUCAAAUGUUUCCUGUUUUCAGGAAAGAUUUUAAGUGGUGCACCGCAUUUAACAAGCUCAAAACCUUGUCAGUCAAUGAUUGGUGUGUGGAGCCUGAUUUUCGCCCACUACUUUACUUUCUCCAGCAGUCACCAAGUCUCGAGAAGCUCUGCCUCCAACUAUUUAUGCCAUAUCAAAAUGCUGAAGGAACAAACAGAAGCUACGAUACGACAAAACCAUUUUUAGCAUCGAAGUAUCUCAGGGAUGUCAAGAUCAAAUGCCAUGAAAAAGAUGAGCGUGUUCACAAAAUUGUGAAGAUUCAGAGGAGUCAAAACUAUUCACAUUCAGAUUCAGGGCAGUCAAAUUACUCCUUUUCGUCGUGUCAGCCUACAAAUGAGGUAAUCACCAAUUACAAAGGAAAAGAGGUGGUGGCUGGUUUUGGUGCAAGAGCUGUACGGGUGAUAUCAUUGUCUCAUCUUGGGACUUCAUUGGUUUAUGCUCUGGUGUGGAUGAAGCGGAGCUUCGAGCAUGCCUAG